rnacentral:rRNA from 1 species
GAUGAACGCUGGCGGCGUGCCUAAUACAUGCAAGUCGAGCGAACAGACGAGGAGCUUGCUCCUCUGACGUUAGCGGCGGACGGGUGAGUAACACGUGGAUAACCUACCUAUAAGACUGGGAUAACUUCGGGAAACCGGAGCUAAUACCGGAUAAUAUAUUGAACCGCAUGGUUCAAUAGUGAAAGACGGUUUUGCUGUCACUUAUAGAUGGAUCCGCGCCGCAUUAGCUAGUUGGUAAGGUAACGGCCUACCAAGGCAACGAUGCGUAGCCGACCUGAGAGGGUGAUCGGCCACACUGGAACUGAGACACGGUCCAGACUCCUACGGGAGGCAGCAGUAGGGAAUCUUCCGCAAUGGGCGAAAGCCUGACGGGGCAACGCCGCGUGAGUGAUGAAGGUCUUCGGAUCGUAAAACUCUGUUAUUAGGGAAGAACAAAUGUGUAAGUAACUAUGCACGUCUUGACGGUACCUAAUCAGAAAGCCACGGCUAACUACGUG